rnacentral:misc_RNA from 1 species
UUUCCGUAGGUGAACCUGCGGAAGGAUCAUUCAUAAUAAGUGUUUUACUGCACUUUUUAAAAAUAGUACUCACCUUGUGUGCAAUGUUGUGUCUCUUUUCGGAGAAACACCUACACCAACCUAUAACCUUGAACCACUUUGUCUGAAAAACUAUUAUGAAUACUUAAUUCAAAAUACAACUUUCAACAACGGAUCUCUUGGCUCUC